UAGUAAAUUCUGUUGUUUUAC
ensembl:piRNA 21ur-396 ncRNA